UACGAAGGGGGCUAGCGUUGCUCGGAAUCACUGGGCGUAAAGGGUGCGUAGGCGGGUUUUUAAGUCAGGGGUGAAAUCCUGGAGCUCAACUCCAGAACUGCCUUUGAUACUGAGAAUCUUGAGUUCGGGAGAGGUGAGUGGAACUGCGAGUGUAGAGGUGAAAUUCGUAGAUAUUCGCAAGAACACCAGUGGCGAAGGCGGCUCACUGGCCCGAUACUGACGCUGAGGUGCGAAAGCGUGGGGAGCAAACAGG
rnacentral:rRNA from 1 species